GGCUACGUCAGACCGGUGAUGGUAAACUUCCGGUUAGCCAGACGUGGUCGUUUACCCACUUUCCCUACUAGUAACACUCCAACCGUGUUGCAUUUGGCUUCGAUGAAACAAGGGGUCCAGGUGGUUGUUGGUGAGUUUGAGCUUCUGAAAGGACACAAGCUGGCGGCUCCAGUGCGCCCCAGUGGCGGGAGAAUCCGGAUGGACGUAGAGCCUCCCGGGCAUGGCCGGCUCUGCCUUUCCAGUUAUAGACCUAUACGCCAAGACGCAGCAGUGAAUCCGAAAGGGAGACUUCAUCCCGUCUGUCUAUCCGGGCGGACAGACAGACGGCACGGAUUUCACCGGCGGGCAGACACGGGGGGAACUAGGCCAUCCCCGUCUGCAAGAAGGACCCGACCUUUACGCGACGCAGGGGCGGGGGACGAAGACCAUAAACCCACAACAACGGUUUGAACAGGUUUUAGUUUGCACGUGGCUAAGAUUUUUGAAAAAAAUGAACAGGACCCAUAAUUAAAUUAAAGUGGAAAAUGAUAAAAUGUUGGCAGUAAAAGACGUUAGUCCACUGAUUUUUAGGAAUAGCUAAAGGUUUAUUAUUAAUGGUGACGUGUGGUUUAAACCCAAGUAUGAAUAAUUAAUAAACACUCAUCGGCUAUGAAUAAGCCGACGACAGCGUGUACGUCUUAGUUGAUGUAGUAUACGAACCAUUUGUUGUCUGCAAAUUUGUAGCGAUGGUCAUCCCCAGGCACGAUGUCCAUGAGCAGUAUGUAUUUGGUUUUAGGGUUGAGU